GAUCCCUUAGCUCAGCGGUAGAGUGUGUGAUUCCAGCUUUCCUGCUCAGGAUUUGCUUCCACAAGGCCAUCUGUUCAAUCCAGGUAGGGAUCA